GAAGAUUGAGUGGUACAUGUAUCACUAAUCUGAAAUAAAAAACAUCUCUAAUUACUUCUGUUUAGCCAUUCAUUGACCACCCACUAUGUGGUAUCUAUCAGAUCGACUGCUAGAGUGACAAUAUAACUGAAGAAAGAUGUUGGUUAAUGUGAGACAAGUUUCCCCUAGUGGUUGUGACUAGAGGUCACUGAAGUUGUAUUGUUUCCCAUUCCUCAUUUGGAGGGCCUCCACCAAAUCACGAAGUUCCUGUGAUUUCUCCAAAUUUAUGCUCUGAAACAAAGCCUUCAUAAACAUUGGUGCUAUGUGGCGUAUCUAUAGCCUGUGCAUCUGCCUUUUUAUAUCUUAAGUUGUGUCCCUUAAUUGCCUUUAAUUGAUUCUCACUGCUUGAGUGAUCUUCUGCACAGGACUAUGCUGUGUAUAUGAAUUAUGAUAGAUUCUUCACUUCACCUUCCACUAUAUAAAUGGUAUUAAUAGAAGGAUGAA
rnacentral:misc_RNA from 1 species